rnacentral:rRNA from 1 species
GACGAACGCUGGCGGCGUGCUUAACACAUGCAAGUCGAACGGAAAGGCCCUGCUUUUGUGGGGUGCUCGAGUGGCGAACGGGUGAGUAACACGUGAGUAACCUGCCCUUGACUUUGGGAUAACUUCAGGAAACUGGGGCUAAUACCGGAUAGGAGCUCUUGCUGCAUGGUGGGGGUUGGAAAGUUUCGGCGGUGGGGGAUGGACUCGCGGCUUAUCAGCUUGUUUGUGUGGUAGUGGCUUACCAAGGCUUUGACGGGUAGCCGGCCUGAGAGGGUGACCGGCCACAUUGGGCCUGAGAUACGGCCCAGACUCCUACGGGAGGCAGCAGUGGGGAAUAUUGCACAAUGGGCGGAAGCCUGAUGCAGCAACGCCGCGUGCGGGAUGACGGCCUUCGGGUUGUAAACCGCUUUCGCCUGUGACGAAGCGUGAGUGACGGUAAUGGGUAAAGAAGCACCGGCUAACUACGUG